rnacentral:tRNA from 1 species
GCCUCGAUAGCUCAGUUGGCAGAGCGGGUGGCUGUUAACCACUAGGUCGGAGGUUCAAGUCCUCCUCGAGGCGCCA